GCCGCUAUCGUCUAGCCUGGUUAGGACGUCAGGUUCUCAUCCUGGUAACCGGGGUUCAAAUCCCCGUAGCGGUA
rnacentral:tRNA from 1 species